rnacentral:rRNA from 1 species
UUCAUGUUUUGCAUAUUCGUACUCUUGGGUGUACUUGCCCGUAUGGUUGGUUAACAUCAAUUUUGGUGGUCAUAAAAUGACUGGAGGAAUGUAGCUUCGAUCUCGUAUUGAAGUGUUAUAGCCUUCGGUAGAUGUGAUGAUCGAGAUUGAGGAUUGCAACGGAUACCCUUCGGGGCUACCUGUCUGAUCUCUGAUCGUUGUUCUGGUGCCGAAAGCUUGCUUACGGUUAUCAAAGUCGAUGGUCAAUAGGUUAGAACGGGUUAAA